rnacentral:rRNA from 1 species
AUGGCGCCGUCCUACGAUAAGACCAUUGCCACUGCGGCCUCCCUCGCGGCAUCCCUGAUGCUCGUCCGCAGCCUCGCGAACGAGCUGCUGCCGUCCGAGCUGCGUGACGCGCUGUCUUCAGCCCUCGCCAGCCUCCGCUCGCGCAUGACGUGGCAGCACACCAUCGUCAUCAAGGAGAUCGAGGGCUGGUGCAGAAAUUGUGUCUACGAUGCCGUCAAUGCCUACCUUGCCACGCGAACCAGCGCCAGCCUCUCCAUGCAGCGCCUGCGCGUCAGCAGCGCCGGCGAAUCUGAAAAGAUGGUUGUCAGCAUGGAGGCAGGCGAGGAGAUGGCAGAUGUGUAUCAAGGAGCGGAGUUCAAGUGGUGCCUGGUCACUCGCGAGGUCAAGGGCGACUCGGACAGCGUUGGCGACGGGGCCCAUGAGGUCAGGUCCUAUGAGGUGAGCUUCCACAAGAGGCACAAGGAGAAGGCGCUCAAGGAGUACCUGCCCUUCAUCGUCGCCGCCGCCAAGGCCAUCAACCACCAGGAGCGGAGCCUCGACAUCUACAUGAACGAGCACGGCAACGAGUGGUCCUCCAUCGUCCUCCAGCACCCCUCCACCUUCGACACGCUCGCCAUGGACAUGAAGCAGAAGCGGGCCAUUGUCGAUGACCUCGACAGGUUCACCAAGAGGAAGGACUACUACAGGAGGAUCGGCAAGGCGUGGAAGCGCGGGUACCUCCUAUAUGGCCCUCCAGGUACCGGCAAGUCCAGCCUCAUCGCCGCCAUCGCCAACCACCUCAGGUUCGACAUCUACGACCUCGAGCUCACUGGGGUCGACUCCAACUCCGACCUCAGGAAGCUUCUCGUCGGGAUGACCAACCGGUCCAUUCUCGUAGUUGAGGACAUUGACUGCACCAUCGAGCUGAAGCAGCGGGAGGAAGACGAUGAGGAGCACUCCAAGUCCAACUCUGCAGCAAAGAAGAAGGCAGAAGACAAGGUAACAUUGUCUGGGCUGCUCAAUUUUGUUGAUGGCUUGUGGUCGACGAGUGGGGAGGAAAGGAUCAUCAUCUUCACAACCAACUACAAGGAGCGUCUCGACCCGGCACUCCUGCGGCCUGGCAGGAUGGACAUGCACAUACACAUGGGGUACUGCACCACGGAGGCCUUCCGGAUCCUUGCCAACAACUACCAUUCCGUCGACUACCAUGCCACCUAUCCAGAGAUCGAGGCGCUGAUCCAGGAGGUGACGGUGACGCCUGCAGAGGUCGCCGAGGUUCUGAUGAGGAACGACGACACUGAUGUUGCCCUCCAUGAUCUUGUCAAGCUCCUAGAGUUAAAGAAGAAAGAGGCCACUGAGAUCAAGACUGAAAGUAAGCAGGCGGAGGAGCAGAAAGACGGCACUGAGAAGAUCAAUACUGAAAGUAAGCAGGCGGAAGAGAAGAAAGAUGGCGAUGAGAUCAAGACUGAAAGUGUGCAGGUGGAGGAGAAAAAAGAUGACAACGAGGUGGUGCUGAAGAAUGAGUUGACAGAAAACGGAAGCGGCUAG